GUGCCAGCAGCCGCGGUAAUACGGAGGAUCCGAGCGUUAUCCGGAUUUAUUGGGUUUAAAGGGUGCGUAGGCGGCCUAUUAAGUCAGGGGUGAAAUACGGUGGCUCAACCAUCGCAGUGCCUUUGAUACUGAUGGGCUUGAAUCCAUUUGAAGUGGGCGGAAUAAGACAAGUAGCGGUGAAAUGCAUAGAUAUGUCUUAGAACUCCGAUUGCGAAGGCAGCUCACUAAGCUGGUAUUGACGCUGAUGCACGAAAGCGUGGGGAUCGAACAGGAUUAGAUACCCCGGUAGUCC
rnacentral:rRNA from 1 species